GGGGAUGUGGCUCAAGCGGCAGGGCGUACACAUGGCAUGCGUGAGGCCUGGGUUCGAUCCUCAGCACCACA
rnacentral:tRNA from 1 species